rnacentral:lncRNA from 1 species
GGAGAUGAAAGAGCGAACAAACAGCCAACCCUCUGUCCCUAGGGCCUCUGAACUGAGGAAAUGGCUGAAUAAUGAAUGAGGCCAGAGCACUUCAGAGAGGUGGCCCUGGGGACUGCGUGGGCAGCAGGAGAGGCAUGGACAGGAUGGGGGAGUGGCUGACAUGUGCAGAGACGCUGGGAGCCCGAAGAGGUCGUGGCUGUGGCUUCCGCUGCAGGUUAGGGCUAUUGACUUGCAUGGAGGAACAUGGCCCACGGACUGUGUUGCAAACCCUCAGUCUGUUGCACAUCUGACCCCCUGGUACUGUUCCUAUUGUACUUCAUACCUUGAGAGUUUGUGGAGCUGGAUUUGUGCUGGAUGCAGGGAGCCCCUCCUAGGAUGAGGGCUGCAGAACUGGAAACUACUCCAGGGCAUCUGGGUGGUGGGGCACUUUCCUGGGCUUUCUCUCUCUGCCAACAUCAAGCAUGCCACCGUAGCAAGCAGGAGAUCCUUUCCACCUCCUCUCAGCUCAAAGCAUUGAAGACAACGUCCCUAGGCUCUGAUUGGCCCAGGGCCCUCCUGUACACGUUCUUCUAGGUGGCAAUCAACCCUGCCACAUAAACAGAGUUCUCCCAGGCCUGCCUUGGCUGGUUGUAAUAAAUACUGGCCAGAUCAAAGCCCAGCCAAAGCCCCUUUGCAUAGGGUCCAUUGCCCCACCUGCUCUGCCAGGCACCUGCAUCCCUAACUUGAAGAGCUGGAGUCAAGAGUGCCAACUCCGGCCCUGGAAAGAUGGUUUGGAGAAAAGGUUUGCAGCUUUAGUGUGAGCUAGCCUGGAUCAACAGGGGGCUGGGAAAGUCCUGGGAAAUACUUCCGUGCACACACUGCAUAGGACCCUGGAGGUAGAGGGAGGAUGGGGCAGGCAGGGGGUAAACCCAUCCUCAAGGGAGCUUUGCUGAAAGUUUGAGGCCACCCUGGCCCCGCUUAGGGGCCUUUCCAGAAGUGUAGUUCUCCCCUGUUGCCCAGCCAGGCCCCUCUUCAGAGCUCCUUCUCCAGGCUGGUCCCUUGGGCUCCUUGCCUCCAUCAGUUCUGACAUCCUGCCUCCCUCAGGCCGGGCUGGGCUCCAAGCUGGACGGCACAGAGCAGAGACACCUCUGGGCAAGGCCACGUUAGAAAAACUCUCUAAGCCUGGAGAUGCCCUUAAACCCAAAUGCACAUGUCAUUGCAUCUCACAACAAAUUUCACUGUCGUUCAUGUUUUAUUAACAUAAAUGCCUUAAAAGCAGAUCAGAGAUUCAACUAAUUUGCUCAUUAGUAAAAGGAAAUUAGCCAUUUGAGAUCUGUUCUAAUAAAAUUAGCUUGGUGA